rnacentral:rRNA from 1 species
UACGAAGGGGGCUAGCGUUGCUCGGAAUCACUGGGCGUAAAGCGCACGUAGGCGGCUUCUUAAGUCAGGGGUGAAAUCCUGGAGCUCAACUCCAGAACUGCCUUUGAUACUGAGGAGCUUGAGUCCGGGAGAGGUGAGGUGGAACUGCGAGUGUAGAGGUGAAAUUCGUAGAUAUUCGCAAGAACACCAGUGGCGAACGGC